rnacentral:rRNA from 1 species
CAGUCGCCGCGGUAAUACGUAGGGUGCAAGCGUUAAUCGGAAUUACUGGGCGUAAAGCGUGCGCAGGCGGUCCGCUAAGACAGAUGUGAAAUCCCCGGGCUUAACCUGGGAACUGCAUUUGUGACUGGCGGGCUAGAGUAUGGCAGAGGGGGGUAGAAUUCCACGUGUAGCAGUGAAAUGCGUAGAGAUGUGGAGGAAUACCAAUGGCGAAGGCAGCCCCCUGGGCCAAUACUGACGCUCAUGCACGAAAGCGUGGGGAGCAAACAGGAUUAGAUACCCCUGUAGUCCCUGUCUCUUAUCC